rfam:Triticum aestivum genome assembly, contig: Triticum_aestivum_CS42_TGACv1_scaffold_288703_4AL
AAAGUACUCCCUCCGUCCCAAAAUUCUUGUCUUAGAUUUGUCUAGAUACGGAUGUAUCAAGUCACAUUUUAGUAUUAGAUACAUCCGUAUCUAGACAAAUCUAAGACAAGAAAUUUGGGACGGAGGGAGUAGUUG